rnacentral:lncRNA from 10 species
ACACACUUAAGUUGGAAAAAUGCUGAGGGGAUUUACAAAAUGUUCUUCCUUCUGUUACAUAUUAUUCAUGCUUUUUAGUAGGGAAAUAAUUCAACUGCAUCAGUUUUUCCCACUGAGAAAAGCCAUACUACUGGUGAUACACAGAGACAGGAAAGCUUUAUCCAGGGCCCUUCAAGUCUCACCAUCUAAUCACCAUCUCUCCCUCCAUGUAGACUCAGCUUUGAAGUAGACCUUCCUCCCACUGCCGCUCCGUUUCUGCCCAUAUAAUGAAGGCUUACCACUUUCUGUAAGCUUUGUCUGCAUGACCUCAUCCAGCUGGGAGAUCCCCCUGCCAGGCCAGCAAAUGACCAAUCCCAUAAUGCCUUCUGAGGACAGCACCCUGGGAAGGUGAACCAAUUUACAUGAAUCAGAGAAUCUGGGGUCACAAAUGAGAAUAUUUAAUGCAAAUUCUUUAGUAAAUCCAAUAGCAGACUGAAGAGGAUCUGGAAAUUCUUUAGGUGAUCUUUUUUUUUCUUCAAAAUCUGUGGACUAGAAAUUAAACUAAUGAUUUUUAUUCUAUGUGCCAAAGACAACACAUUGUUCAACAUUGUCUCUCACCUUUUAAAUAUCCAUGUUCCAUUUAAAGUAGAAGGACAGAUUAAUGAAUUUCUCAUGACCUUCUGUGAGAAUCGCUUACUUUAAAACAAUGGUUCUUUCUUUUGAAUGAGAAGAAAUUUUAUUAUGUCAUCAAGUCCCAGAUUUUCUAAAGCAGCAAGUUAGAGGAUUAAAAAUGUAAUGUAAAGCUUUGUAUGUAUGAAUAUAAUAUACAUAUUUGCAGUUGAGAGGAACCUAGGAAUAAGUUGUUAUUACUACCUACCUGUUCAUUCAUUCAAAAUCUCUAUGUUGACAAACACUAUUUUAGGAACUGGAAAUUCAGUGAUGAAACAACAGACAAUAUUGCCUGCCCAAAUGUAGCAUAUGCCAGGGGGAAGGAGGAAGACAAAAUAAUGAUAUAAAUGAGUAAAGUAAAUGGCAUGUCUGAUGGUAAUAGUGUUAUGGAGAAAAAUAAAGCAUAGAAGAAAAAAAGUGAUUGACGAGACGGAAAGACUAUUUUAAGUAUGAUAGUGAGAAAACUGUCAUGCUGAGAUGACAUUUGAGGAGACACCUGAAAUAUGUGACACUAUAAAUCAUGUAGAUAUCAGCCUGAUGUGUAUUCCAGGCUGUGUAGGAAGAGCACAAAAGUUUCUGAUAGGAAUGUGGCCUUACCAAGAAACAGAAAGAAGCUGUGCAUGACUGGGACAGAGUGAGAUGGGGGGAAAAGAUAGCCGGACUCAGGAUUUUAGUUCCUUCUCCAAAUCACAUCAGAAACCUGUGGAUGAUUUUAAGCAGAGAGAUGUCUUUUUCAGCUUUGGAGAAUGAGUAUAUUCAAAGGCCUUGAGAUACAUGAGGAAGUAGCAGACAGAUUAUCCACACACACCUACAAGAUUUUACUGAGGCAUGUGAGGUGACUAGAUUAAACAAUUGAGAUGAUUUGCUAUAGUAGGCAUGGUAGAAAGUGUGUUGUGUUGUGCUGCAUGGCAGCUUUUACUCUUGAUUAAAUAUCCUGAAAUAUCAUCUGUUUUCAGUUAAUUCAAAAAGGGAGAGAAACCUUUAGGAUUUCAGGUUUUGGCUAAUUCCUCCUUAUCCUUCUGCUCUCAGCUAACUCCUACUCAGAUAUUUCUCUACACAGCAUCUUCACUGGGGUCUUUAAUAUCUCUCUGAAGUCUUUAGUGUCUGUCUGCCUAGAUUUGUUCCAUGCGAGGAAUGUCAGAUUUACAACAGUAUCCUUGGUACAUUAAAUGCCCCCAAGAGACACUGAAUUAUUUGAUGAAUGAUGAAUAAAUGGAUAAAUAAUGGAGAAUUGAAAAAUUAAUGGAGGUAUGUUAAAAGAC